GACGAACGCUGGCGGCGUGCUUAACACAUGCAAGUCGAACGGAAAGGCCCUGCUUUUGUGGGGUGCUCGAGUGGCGAACGGGUGAGUAACACGUGAGUAACCUGCCCUUGACUUUGGGAUAACUUCAGGAAACUGGGGCUAAUACCGGAUAGGAGCUCCUGCUGCAUGGUGGGGGUUGGAAAGUUUCGGCGUUUGGGGAUGGACUCGCGGCUUAUCAGCUUGUUGGUGGGGUAGUGGCUUACCAAGGCUUUGACGGGUAGCCGGCCUGGGAGGGUGACCGGCACAUUGGGACUGAGAUAGGGCGCAGUAUCCUACGGGAGGCAGCAGGGGGGAAUAUUGCACAAUGGGCGGAAGUCUGAUGCAGCAACGCCGCGUGCGGGAUGACGGCCUUCGGGUUGUAAACCGCUUUCGCAUGUGACGAAGCGUGAGUGACGGUAAUGGGUAAAGAAGCACCGGCUAACUACGUG
rnacentral:rRNA from 1 species